GACGAACGCUGGCGGCGUGCUUAACACAUGCAAGUCGAACGGAAAGGCCCUGCUUUUGUGGGGUGCUCGAGUGGCGAACGGGUGAGUAACACGUGAGUAACCUUCCCUUGACUUUGGGAUAACUUCAGGAAACUGUGGCUAAUACCGGAUAGGAGCUCCUGCUGCAUGGUUGUGGUUGGAAAGUUUCGGCGGUUGGGGAUGGACUCGCGGCUUAUCAGCUUGUUGGUGGGGUAGUGGCUUACCCAGGCUUUGACGGGUAGCCGGCCUGAGAGGGUGACCGGCCACAGUGGGAAUGAGAUACGGCCCAGACUCCUACGGGAGGCAGCAGUGGGGAAUAUUGCACAAUGGGCGGAAGCCUGAUGCAGCAACGCCGCGUGCGGGAUGACGGCCUUCGGGUUGUAAACCGCUUUAGCCUGUGACGAAGCGUGAGUGACGGUAAUGGGUAAAGAAGCACCGGCUAACUACGU
rnacentral:rRNA from 1 species